rnacentral:rRNA from 1 species
UACGUAGGGUGCGAGCGUUGUCCGGAAUUAUUGGGCAUAAAGAGCUCGUAGGCGGUGUGUCGCGUCGGCCGUGAAAACCUGCAGCUUAACUGUGGGCUUGCGGUCGAUACGGGCAUCACUGGAGUUCGGCAGGGGAGACUGGAAUUCCUGGUGUAGCGGUGAAAUGCGCAGAUAUCAGGAGGAACACCGAUGGCGAAGGCAGCUCGCUGGGACGGUACUGACGCUGAGGCGCGAAAGCGUGGGGAGCGAACAGG